UGGGGAGUACGGUCGCAAGAUUAAAACUCAAAGGAAUAGACGGGGACCCACACAAGCGGUGGAGCAUGUGGUUUAAUUCGACGAUAAGCGAGGAACCUUACCUGGACUUGACAUCCCGAGAAUUUCCCUGAAAAGGGAAAGUGCCGCAAGGAACUCGGUGACAGGUGCUGCAUGGUUGUCGUCAGCUCGUGCCUUGAGGUGUUCGGUUAAGUCCGUGAACGAGCGCAACCCUUGUCCUGUGUUGUAUUUUCACAGGAGACUGCCGGCUUUAAGUCGGAGGAAGGUAAGGAUGACGUCAAAUCAGCAUGGCCCUUAUGUCCAGGGCUACACACGUGCUACAAUGGCAGGUACAAUAGGCAGCAAACCCGCGAGGGGGAGCCAAUCCUCAAAAACCUGUCCUAAGUUCGAAUUGAUGGCUGCAACUCGCCAUCAUGAAGUUGGAAUCGCUAGUAACCGCGUAUCAGCAAUGACGCGGUGAAUAUGUUCCUGGGUCUUGUACUCACCGCCCGUCACGUCAUGAAAGG
rnacentral:rRNA from 1 species